CCCUCUGCACAAAAACAUCAUCCUUGCUGUUGCUACAGGCAAAUCUAAAUACACCAGUGCUUGGGGUUUUGGAAAGUGUUGCCGUGUUGGCUGGGGAUGCUGCUUUACUGGAAUCAGAGCUUUUCCGCUCUGACAGUCGAAGAACCACAAGUUCAAAUCCUGAGGGAUCUGUCCAGGCUUUUGGAGCAGGAUCUGAUUCCCCAGCAGUGGAGGCUUUGCUUUGGGAGCCUGCUGGCAGAGGAGCUGGAGGUAAAUCAGUGUGCCCAGCAUGCCCGGUGGCUCCCUCAGGGGGUGUUCAUUCUCCCCUGGCUGGGGGUCAGUGGGAAGGAACAGACACUGCAGGACAGCUCCUCACUGAGGUACAGAGGUGAGAGAUCCUUCCCCAGCCGGCACAGAAAGUGCCAACAUGGAGCAUCCCGUGGAGCUGUGGAUCCCCCUGAGAACCUGGCUGAGGAGCUGGCAUGAGGGGUUGUAUGUUGGAGGGGUGCUGGGGCUCUCCUUCCCCCAAGGGACCACUGCUGGGCAGUUCCCUGCCUCAGCAAUGCCUGCUGGCCAUCCUGCAGGGCUGGACCUGUUGUGUGGCCUCUGGAAAUGAACGGCCUCCUGUGAGCCAUCACCCCCCUGUCACCCGCUUGCUCUUGCUCAGGCCCUCUGCUCUCUGGCAGCUCGUCUCCUCCUGGAAGCAUAGUAGCAGGAGGCAGCAUGUUACUCCCAUGUCUCUGUUUAUUUUCAUUACCAAAAAUAUUUGUACAGCGGCAGAAUUUGAUUUCUAAACCUCUGUGUGUUCCAGCUGUUUGUUCCCAGCUGGAGCUGAAGACAUCUGCUCCCAGGAUGGGGAUCAGUGCCUGAGCUCCUGCCCCCAGCUGUGCUCCCGAGAACCAGCUGCACCCGGGCAUGGAGGGCUCCCAGUGCCAGUCGUGGUGCUUGUGGCACAGAAGAGAAAGAUGCAGAAGGCAGACAGGUGACAGCAAGGAGCUGGUCCUGUGGUUUGGGAUGUCACUGCUGAGGAAAGGCUACCUGGAGCACAUGAGGAGUGGUUUUGUUGAGGCCCCUGGCAGCACCUCCUGCCGUGAGCUCGGAGGACAGGAGGGUGACACGGCCCCUUCCCGGCUGUGACGUUGGUGCCUGUCGGUGCCCGUUGGCUGAAUGCCAGCGCUGGCACUUCCCCUGGCUGGUACCUGUUGCUCAAAGCUCUAUGGGUUGAGCAAUGCCCUGGGUGGCUCUGUGGGCAGGACCCAGAUCCGGCCCAUCGGCACACGGGAUCACCACAGGCCGGGCUGGGGCUGAAUAACCAGCCCGGUGGUUUGUGGGGCGAGCAGGGCCACAGGGCUGCUUCCCACCGGGGUCGGGUGCUCCUGUCCUGCUGCAAACAGCUGCUGUUGUCUCAAGGCCAGGUUUCCCCACAGCUCCUGGACCUUGCAGGCCAGCCCAGCAGCCGUGGUGCCCAGCCAGCACUGAGGGCGAGGGCUGUGACCGCGGGCAGGGCUGCGCUGCCGGGCGGCACCGACCGGGCUCCGGCCCAGCCAGCAGCUCCUUAUUGCAACACCCCAGAGGAAGUAUUUGGGCUGUAGGCUGGUCCUGGAUUUCCAAAGCAGCACAGGAGAUAAGCAGAUGCCUUUUUCUUGUGACACAGCUGCCCUGCCUGUGCCCCAGCCCUGGCCAGGCCCCAGGUGGGGAGAGGAGUCCCCAGUGCGAGUGCUGCUGGCUGGCUGGCUGGGAAGCUGCUGACCCUGCUGGAUCUCAGGCUCAUCCUUCCAGUGAAGGAAUCCCUGGCUCGGCUGGAGCCCACGCGGGGUUUGUCCAGUGCACGUCACCAGCCUCAGAAAUACGGGGUGAAUUCCUGCUUUUUCGAGAUGGUUACAGCAGAGUAUCACAGUAAGAAACCAAAAAAAACACCAGCCCCUUCUCUCUGAGCAAGAGAAUUACAUCCAUGUGGGUAAGCAAUCAUAGGUAAGUGGUAUUUGUGUACUUAGGUGGCAUCUGGUUUAUUGGGCGGAGCACUGAGCCACACACUCGAUAACUUGCAUCACCCUCUGAUUCAUACAAUCAUCUGACCUUCAUCUAACUGCUGCUCUGCUUUUAUUUCCUUUGCUCCCUACAAGUUACAGUAAAGGAAAUUCUUCCUGUGCUCCAUACACAAUGCUUCCUUUCAUGCAGGGAAUGGUUGCGCUUUUAGCAUUUAAAAAAACAACCAGCAGAAGCAUCUACUGGAAAAGCACAGGAUGGAGCAUCUCUUCCCUCUCCCCCCACAGACCACAGGCACUCCAGGGGUUGCUGUUGGCUGGACACAGCCUCCCCUCCUGGGUGAAACCCCAGCCCCUCGGGGUGGGAUGUCAGGGCUUGCAGGGAGGGUCUCUCCCUGUUUUGUGUGUGGAAAAGUAAGCAGGUCUUCCAGGGGGAGUCUAACUCUGCUGGCUCUGGCUGGGGCUGUACCUUCAGCUCCUGCUCUGCCCAGUGAGGCUGUUCCUCUGGACCCACCCUCGUGUGCCUCCCCUGCAGCUGAGGAGGGACAGCCAUCUCCAUCAUGUCUCAGCUUUCUGACACAUGACGGUAAAAGGGAGUCUGGUGAUCUCUCAGCUGUCCACUGCAGGAGAGCUUUGGGUGGUGGGAAGAGGCCAGCACAGGCUUUGGAAUGCCGCUGGGAAUCAACAUCCCCUGACACAGAAUUACCGUGUGACGUUACCAAGGGCAGGGUCUCUCGAAGGAAGGGAGGAAAACCACAUUGAGUGGAAGAAGAGUCAUCUGCAGAUCUUUUUAAAGUUAAAAAUAGUCAGGAUUUUGUCUGCAGAAGACAGUUUGUUCUGCUGUGCUGCUGGCAUCAUGUGAGCAGGCCGUGCGCUUCUGCAUUUGAAGGCUCAAACUGACAUGCUGAAAACAGGAACUUUCUGGAUAUUCCACAUGCCUGAGAUUUAAUGGUUUCAGCGAGUUGCCUGAUAUCAUCUCCUCCGUAUGGUUGUGCUUGGGUGGGGGAACUAAACAUCUCAUUAGCUCUGUAGGGUCAUUAAAAGCCAGAGGAGGGAUCAUAAGGAAUAAUAAGGAUGUAUGACAUCCUGCGAAGACAGCUGAUAAAAGCAGCCACCUCUGCCACCGAGCGCUUCAAGGAGAGGGGACCCAGUUCAGCAGCGUGGAGGAGCUGAGUGCUCACGAACUCAUGUCAGCAGGAGCUCUUUAUCCUCUCUUCAUCAGGAAAAUCAGACCGACAGCAUUGAAAUGUGACUAAAACCAGAGGAUGAUACAGGGAAUUCUGGCCUACAUAACUUUGCAAUGAGUUCACCGAGCAUUCCUGGCUCCCAGGCCUGGACUGAGGCUACUAAACUGUGCAACAUUUCCCUGUAAUCAAAUUAUAGUUUAUACACACGCACACAAAACACAAACACACAGACCUGUACCUUCCUACAAAUGAACAAAAUGUCUGCAGACAGUGGAAAGCUGCUGUGAUGCUGCUGAAUUGUCGCUCUGGCCUCAGCUACGAUAGCAAAGCUCGUGGUUGCAAAGAACCCUGACACCAGCAGCAAGAGAACGGCAAGAACUGUGAGUGUUCCCCAGCCUUGGUCUCCAUUCAGAUGCUGUAAUAGUUCUCGUAGGGUUUCACAAAUAAGUAGCAUGUAUUUGAUUGCAUAAAGCAGCGAAAUCGUGUGUCAGGCUUUUAGUCCCAAUUUCUUAAUCUUAGAUGAUUGCCAGUUAAGAAAAAGUCUAGACCGUUGGCCUGUUCUUUGGCAGAGGAGAAGUUGUUUAUUAUUUUUCCACAUGCUCGGAGAAUUACUCCAUUUACUUAAAAAGGGGAAGGACUAAAAUCCUAUUUACUCUAAUCUUUAUCAUAUUUAAACUGGCUGUUCUCUGUAGGCAUGUCCCCUUCUUUUACUAGCUCAAUGUUGUUGGCCAAAGUGUUGUCCCCUGACAAAUGCCACAGAUGCACAGAAUGGUCACAUUGAGUUAUGCAAGUGUUUGGCUUUUUGCCUCUGAAAAUAGCUGCUCAGUAGAAAAAUACAAAUCCCAUUGCAUGUUCUCUCUGGGUUAUAACAGGUCACAGACACAAAAUCCCCGCUGUUUGUGAAAUCUUCUUGUGGCUUAUAGUUGUACAACAUUUAAUGACCCCAAAAAAUUAAUGAGAGAGACAUUAAAUGUUUGGAAUUAGAUAUGUUAAAUUGGCAAGUGAUGCCAGAUUACUGGUGGGGAGUUUUCCAUGGCAAGAGUGUUCUUUCUUUUUGUUAUUUCUUUAAGUCUUCAUCUUUAUCUGUGCCCAGCCCAUUCAUUUCCCCACCCUCCCCUUUCUAAUGGUUUUUGGCAUGAGCUUUCCAGGGCAAAUGAAGAAAAUCUUUCAGCUGAAGCUGUAACCUGAUUAUAGGAAAAAAGAACACACAAAUGAGGCAGUCACCAGACUCCAGAUUGCCUCCUGUCAGGGCAGGUUUUCCCCCGCCACCCCCAUCUUUAAUUUUUUUCAGUCUCGAGCGUGGACAUCUGUAUACUGUUGCUGGAUGACUCCAAUAUCUAGACAGGUCCAUAUGCUCUUUUGUUUUGCCAACAAAGUGCUGGGGCUGGAAUCAAAUAUCUGUAGGUUGUGUGUAGCAAAAAUAAAACAGCAUCAGACAGACAAAAAAAUUGAUAAAAGAGCCUGUUUCAGGCAGAGCUGCUCCUUUGAAGAGUGUGUACCUGUUUGGGGCAAGAACUCAUGGCUUGGAGCAAACCAGCUGUUUUUUAGAUGUUAUUUUAUAACAAUUUUGAAUGUUUUUGUCAGUUCUUAUUGUGUUUCACCAGGCACUGUUGAUACUGUUGUACAGUACACCCUGCCUGGGGCAGGUUGGAUGCUCCAGUGGCUUGGCAGCAGUGCUUUCUCUCCUCAUCCCACUCACAUCCGUCAGGGUUUGGUGACUGCAGCAGGGUGGUGGCAGGCCCUGGACAGACCCUUUCAAGUCACUCAGCAGUGGCAAGGGAUAGGAAUGUCUUCAUACCUGUCUUCUCCCAUCGGAACAAGGAAGAGAAAUGAGGAAGAUGGGAACACACGUCAGUGUCACGGGACAGGCAGUGCUCUUCCAACACAAGCAGCUUUCACUGUCCUCACUGGCAGCUCUCGGAGGGUCCGGAUCAAUGCCAGUCUUUGUGUCCAUAGAAACCUUAGUAAAUGAACAGCAAAUAACCCAAUUCACUGCUUCCUUCUGCAGAUUGCUCCUCACUUGGGAACUGGGAUUCCAGGAGCGACCCGGUGUGUGACUGGCCGAGGGUUACCCGACACGACGGGCAGGGUGGGAUGUUCCCAACACACUGUGCAUCCUCAAGCACAAAGUAUUCAUUACUGCACAAUUUGCACCUGCCCUCCAUGAAGCCUUUCCCGUGGACAUCCCAUAAACUGCCCUCAGUUGAGAGAUGUGCCCUUCAGGUGGGAGCUAAGAUGUAGGAAAGGGUUGCUCUUUCCAGCUGAGCUAUGGCUCAGGCUGCUCCAGGGAGCAGCUGGGGCUUGUCAUUCCCUCUCUUUGCAUGUUAAUAUAAUCUUAAAACCUUUCAAUCUUAA